GGCGCCCCGCAGCCGGCCCCCGCAGCCGGGACCCGCAGCCGGGACCCUGCAGCCCGUCCCGCACAGCCCGCACCCCCGGAGCCCGCAGCCGGCAUCCCCCCGCUCCCUGCGACCCGCACCCGCAGCCAGCCUGCACCCCCGGGCUCUGGGAGCCCCAGGCAGCACUCGGCCCCCCCACCCCUGCACCCUUUGCACCCCACAAGCCCACCCCGAUGGCCCUGCCAGGCCCCUCGCUACCAGCACCCUGUGCCCUGCAGCCAGCACCCCGCACAUCCUACACCGUGCACAGCCUGCGGGGUGCCCCACACCAUGUGCCCCACGCACCCUGCACCCCAAACCCUGCCCUGUGCCCCCUGCGGCAUGUCCUGCACCCCGCGCGCCCCUUGUACCCAGCACCCUGCACCCCACUGCCCUGCCGCCCCUGUGCCCUGCACCCACAAAAUGCACACUGCACCCCUCGAACCCCACACUGCACACCCCUCUCCAUGCACCUCACAAGGUGCACGACGCACCCCCAAACAGGGCCUGGGCACCCCGUGCUCUGCAAAGGACACCCCACACUGAGCAUCCUGUGCUGGGUGCCCCGCACCACGCCGUGCACCCAUCACCCUGCACCCUGUGCCGUGCGUCCUGUACCCACACCCUGCACCCCACAGCAUGGACACUGUGCCCACACUCUGUACCCCACAGCAUGGACACUGUGCCCACACCCUGCACCCCACAGCAUGGACACUGUACCCACACUCUGUACCCCACAGCAUGGACACUGUGCCCUACAACUGCACCCCACAGCAUGGACACUGUACCCACACCCUGCACCCCACAGCAUGGACACUGUACCCACACCUUGUGCCCCACAGCAUGGACACUGUACCCACACUCUGUACCCCACAGCAUGGACACUGUGCCCACACCCUGCACCCCACAGCAUGGACACUGUGCCCACACCCUGCACCCCACAGCAUGGACACUGUACCCUACAACUUCACCCCAUGCCGUGGACUCUGUGCCCCACAAGUGCACUCCUGUGGGCUCCCCACACCUCACACCGUGCCCCCUGUGCUCCACACGCUGCACCCCAUGCUGUGCACCCCUCACCCCAUACCCUGCACUGACACUGCACCCCACACUGUGCACCCCUCAUCU
rnacentral:lncRNA from 1 species